CGUGUUUAGUUUCAAUAUCAUAUAUGGGAAUUGUGCAGUCUCAUGUCUUUUAGCCAGCCAUAAUAUAUGUGAAAUGUGCAAUGCCAUCCUGUUUAACCAAGCAUUAUAUAUUUGAAUGAUAUCUUGCCCAUCCUUUUCUUCAUUACAUUUCCAUUUGUCGACAAUGUUUGUACAUUAAACUACUCUUCCUGUGAAUCAGCCAUUUGGGUGGGAGAUUGAAAAAUCUGGAGUUAAACAAGCCAUCGCUCUGGAUACAUUAGCAUGGGAUAACAUCUUAGGAUUCUGGUCCUAUUGUGUUGGCCUUCGGGAUCGGAGUAAUGAUUAAUAGGGACAGUCGGGGCAUUCCUAUUUCAUAGUCAGAGGUGAAAUUCUUGGAUUUAUGAAAGGCGAACAACUGCGAAAGCAUUUGCCAAGGAUGUUUUCAUUAAUCAAGAACGAAAGUUGGGGGCUCGAAGACGAUCAGAUACCGUCCUAGUCUCAACCAUAAACGAUGUCGACCAGGGAUCGGCGGAUGUUGCUUAUAGGACUCCGCCGGCACAUUAUGAGAAAUCAAAGUCUUUAGGC
rnacentral:ncRNA from 1 species